GCGGUGUAAUGCGCGGGGUCCCGCAGGGUUCGGUGUUGGGUCCGUUGGUGUGGAACAUCGCGUACGCCGCGGUGCUUCGGACGUCGAUGCCUGCGAACUCGGCACUGGCGUG